rnacentral:rRNA from 1 species
GAUGAACGCUGGCGGCGUGCUUAACACAUGCAAGUCGAACGAUGAGGCCCAGAUCGCUGGGUGGAUUAGUGGCGAACGGGUGAGUAACACGUGAGUAACCUGCCCUUAACUCUGGGAUAAGCCGGGGAAACUGGGUCUAAUACCGGAUAGGAGCUCCUACUGCAGGGUGGGUGUUGGAAAGCUUGUCCGGUUGUGGAUGGACUCGCGGCCUAUCAGCUUGUUGGUGUGGUAUUGGCUAACCAAGGCGACGACGGGUAGCCGGCUAGAGAGGUUGACAGGCAAAGGUGGGUUGGCAGCGUGACCAGAGGUCGUACGGGCGGAAGCAGUGGGAACAAUAGCACAAUGGUGGAAGGCGUAAUCACGAGCUUCGUCGGUAGGGAUAACGGCCUUCGGGUGUUAAACACCUUUAAUGAGGAAAGAAGUGGUAGUGACGGUACCUGCAGAAGAAGCACCGGCUAACUACGUG